rnacentral:rRNA from 1 species
UGGGGAAUUUUGGACAAUGGGGGAAACCCUGAUCCAGCCAUUCCGCGUGAGUGAAGAAGGCCUUCGGGUUGUAAAGCUCUUUCGGCAGGAACGAAACGGUUUGGGCUAAUACCCCAGACUACUGACGGUACCUGAAGAAGAAGCACCGGCUAACUACGUGCCAGCAGCCGCGGUAAUACGUAGGGUGCGAGCGUUAAUCGGAUUUACUGGGCGUAAAGCAUGCGCAGGCGGCGGUUCAAGUCAGGUGUGAAAUCCCCGAGCUUAACUUGGGAAUUGCGCUUGAAACUAGAUCGCUAGAGUACGGCAGAGGGGGGUAGAAUUCCACGUGUAGCAGUGAAAUGCGUAGAGAUGUGGAGGAACACCGAUGGCGAAGGCAGCCCCCUGGGCCUGUACUGACGCUCAUGCAUGAAAGCGUGGGGAGCAAACAGGAUUAGAUACCCCCGUAGUCCCUGAGCGGGCUGGCAAG